GUUCUAUCACUGAUUUCCUACCUUCGCAACUAGAAAUCUUCAGGUAGAUAGGAAAUUGGUUAAGCAAAUGGUGGUGACAUCAGUGUAUGGUGUGACUUAUAUUGGUGCACGUGACCAAAUCAAGAAGAGGCUAAAAGACCGUUGUGCCAUUGAAGACGAUGAUGAGUUGAUUGCAGCAUCUUGUUAUGCAGCAAAAACCACCUUGACCGCAUUGGGUGAGAUGUUUGAAGCUGCACGAAGUAUCAUGAGUUGGCUCGGUGAUUGUGCAAAGUUAAUUCUUGUGUUUUGCAUUGAAUGACAGCCCUACAAAUGGGCUUCUCAGUUGCAGAUCUUUCAUCAAAACUGAAUGUAGCUAAAGUGAACUGGGGGAGCGAUUAAGAGGCAGUGGUGAUGAUAUUACAGCCGUUGAUUAUGCUAAUGCACUGAAGCCUUCUGUCGUUGCACUACCUCUACAUGGAUGUAAGUCUGGAACUAUUUUACAUGUGAGACACUUCUAUCAGUUCUUUAAGCUUUUAAACAGAUACCUUUUUCAAUUGUAACUAGUGACCAAGUUGAAUGUAUUAGU